rnacentral:tRNA from 1 species
GCCAGGGUGCCCGAGUGGUCAAGGGGAUCCCCACGGGCCCGUUACUUCCCGGGUUCGAAUCCCGGCCCUGGCUCCA